rnacentral:rRNA from 1 species
CACGUAGGGCGCAAGCGUUGUCCGGAAUUAUUGGGCGUAAAGAGCUCGUAGGCGGUCUGUUGCGUCCGCUGUGAAAACUCGGGGCUUAACCCCGAGCCUGCAGUGGAUACGGGCAGACUAGAGGUAGGUAGGGGAGAAUGGAAUUCCCGGUGUAGCGGUGAAAUGCGCAGAUAUCGGGAGGAACACCGGUGGCGAAGGCGGGUCUCUGGGCCGAUAUUGACGCUGAGGAGCGAAAGCGUGGGGAGCAAACAGG